GAAGUUCGCCAGGCAGUCGCUGCGCAGCAUGUCGUGCGUGGAGGAAAGUCCGGGCCCUGCAGAGCAGGAUGCCGGCUAACGGCCGGGCGCCGUGAGGCGACGGAAAGUGCAACAGAGAGCAGACCGCCGAUGGCUCGGACUUUGGUGCCGCAAGGCGCCAAAGUCCAUAUUGAAGAGUUCGCUCUUCAAUGGAGAUCAGGCAAGGGUGAAACGGUGGGGUAAGAGCCCACCGCAGGACUGGCAACAGGACUGGCACGGUAAACCCCAUCCGGGGCAAGGCCAAAUAGGGGAGCAUCGGCGUGGCUCGCGCCGCUCCCGGGUAGGCUGCUAGAGCGCCGCGGCAACGCGGCGCCCAGAGGAAUGACUGCCCGAUGCUGCCGGUUCGCGCCGGCGGCGUUCGACAGAACCCGGCUUAUCGGCGAACUUCCCCC
rnacentral:RNase_P_RNA from 1 species